rnacentral:misc_RNA from 1 species
GUGAAGAAUGUCCCUUUGAUCUUCAUCUGUUCUCCUCAUCAAGAAAAUAAAAUAGGAGAUGCAGGUUUCCUUACAUUCUAUGUACAGUUCGUUUGUAGUUUGGUCUCAACGAUCAUACUCAAUGUUUAACCAACAUUGCAUCUAAUUGCUUUUUUCUGGCAGCAUGUUUUAAUUUCUCAAGUGCAACUAAUCCAACUUGCCUCACUCUUUCUCUGGAUAAACCUAUCCUUCUACUAAUAUCCUCCCAGGUAAGGCACUCAUUGUCCAGACCAUAGUACAGUCGGAUAAUAUCUCUCUCGCGUUCCCUGAGAGUUGAAGAAAUGAGAUUGUUUACUUCAUCCUUGAGCGCCCAUCCAUCAACUCCAUGCCAUGGGUUGUUCUCCAGGCGAUUGUCAGCAAUGUAGCUAUGAAGUGUUGCUCCAGGAAGGCCAUUUAAAGAGGGAUAUGCUUCCCUAUCAAGUGAAAACACCUUGCUGCUUGCCUCAGUUGCAUUUCUGACUUUCUUCUGGGACAUGUUAAGGCAUUCAGCUAUUUUUUCGAUUGAUGGAGUUA